rnacentral:rRNA from 1 species
UAGGGAAUCUUCCGCAAUGGGCGAAAGCCUGACGGAGCAACGCCGCGUGAGUGAUGAAGGUCUUCGGAUCGUAAAACUCUGUUAUUAGGGAAGAACAAAUGUGUAAGUAACUAUGCACGUCUUGACGGUACCUAAUCAGAAAGCCACGGCUAACUACGUGCCAGCAGCCGCGGUAAUACGUAGGUGGCAAGCGUUGUCCGGAAUUAUUGGGCGUAAAGCGCGCGUAGGCGGUUUUUUAAGUCUGAUGUGAAAGCCCACGGCUCAACCGUGGAGGGUCAUUGGAAACUGGAAAACUUGAGUGCAGAAGAGGAAAGUGGAAUUCCAUGUGUAGCGGUGAAAUGCGCAGAGAUAUGGAGGAACACCAGUGGCGAAGGCGACUUUCUGGUCUGUAACUGACGCUGAUGUGCGAAAGCGUGGGGAUCAAACAGG